GGGCAGUUAGCUCAGUUGGUUCAGAGCAUCUGCCUUACAAGCAGAGGGUCGGGGGUUCAAAUCCCUCACUGCCCA
rnacentral:tRNA from 2 species